GCCUCCGUGGCGCAGUCGGCUAGCGCGUUUUGAUGUUAACUGAAAGGUUGGUGGUUCCAGCCCACACGGGGGCG